ensembl:lncRNA
CCGUGCGGGGAGGGCAGGGACCCGGUACGGGGCGGGCAGGGCGGGGCCACUCUGGUUGGCUGCGUCCCGCUCACUGUCCGGCCCAUUUUAAACUUGGUCGGCCCGGGCGUCUUCCCUUUUCUGCAGCGGCGCGCUCCUGGUAAGUCGUGCUUGUCUCGCGGAAUACGGGCCCCGCCACGUGGCCUCGGGGAGCCCACGGUGCCAGCCCCGCGCGCGGGUCCCCGCCAGGUGCCGGCCCCUUGGUGUGGGGCCGAGGCUCGGCCUCGCACUGCCCGGAUUUGUCUUCUCCAGGGUGGAGGCGCAGAGUCCUUGGCCCACCCGGGGCUCCUGCCCGCCCAGUAGUCUGGCGACGGGGACAUUGCCUAUUUAGGAAGCGAAUGAGAUCAGAGCUCAAGAGUAGCAGGAUAAUUCCAGUGUUAGCAAGGAGCAGAGGUAAUUUCGCCCACGCAGCUGCGUCCUCGCCACAAGUGUCCUUCAAAUGCCACUUUGUACAGUUUUUUUUAACGUUUGAGGGUGCUUCCGAGAGCCGAUGUCUGCAAGCAAGUCAAGCAGAGCGCUCUGGGCCCACAGUGGCCGGAUUAGCCACGUUUUAUGCCGCCCAGCCUUCCCCUGAUACAAAUUGGGUCUGCCUGGAUUUUAUGUUCUGGGAGAAUCUGAGCCGCUGGGUUCACACUUGUACAAGGCAUCAGACACCUAACUCCUGUGUUCCUAAGACUGGACACAGGCCCGCCUGCUCACUAUUGCUUUAACAUUUGUGAAGAUCUAGAUUUAGACGAGAGUGAAAGAAGGAAGGCGUCACUUGGUUUUCUAUUGGGAGGCGAUCUUUGUUUGGUGCUGUAUGCUGCGCCCAGGAUGUUAAUGAAUACAAGGUAUGGGUUAAAUGAAAAGAUUUGACUUGUCCCGGCAUAAUUCCAGGAACACAAUUCUUGGCCAAGGAUGAGAACUCUAACCUGAUUGGAAAAGCUACUCUGAUGGGUUAAAGGAUUUACCUGAGGCCAACUUUAUAGGACUUAGUGAAGCCAACCAUCUAGAUAAGGGGGAGGGAGGAAUGUAUUUUAGUGAGAUGGCAUAGCAGUGCCCACCCUCACUACCUUUGGGUUUGAUUCUUGGACCCUAUGUGGUGGAGAGAACCAACUCUAGAGUUACCUUUGGGCCUUCAUGUAUUCUGUGUGCAUACACAAAAUAAUAAAUGGAGAGUUGGUCAAUGAAUUAAUACAUAAAGAGAAAAAUACGGUUUUGCAUUUAAAACUGGAAACAUUACUGAGUAUACUGAGGAUUGUUGAUACAAGGAAAUUAUUGUCAGCAUCGGUGUCUCUAAUUACCUCUGGUUAUUUCUCUUACAGCUCCGAUGCUUGAGAUGAAGUGGUGCAACUUGGAGGAGAAAAGGUAUGCAAUUGUUUUCAGUUUCUUUGUCCAUUUGAUAGUGAGAAUGUGAAUUUGAGGCAGUCUCAAUCUCAAAUAUAGAAGCAUGAUAAUUUUAUGCCUGUAGAAUUCAUUUCCAUUAUUUAUUUUACCAUGAGUCACUUCUAGCCUGAAACUUUCCAGUGUUAGCACAAUAUUUUUUGAAAAUUUUUUAUCUAUAAAAUUUUUCUUAUUUUUGCCUGCACGUGUCAGGACCAUGUGCUUGCAGUGCCCAUGGAGACCAGAAGAGGGCAUCAGAUACUCCUGAAACUGGAGUUACAGUUACAGUUGUGAGCCACUAUGUGGGUGCUCAGAAUUGAAACUAGGUUCUCUAGAAGACCAGCCAACUAGGACUUUUAACUGCUGGGCCAUCUCUCUAGCCCUAAACUUUGGCAACUCAGAAUUGUGUCCUCGGGAGAGUGAGGUGUUUAGGGUCCAUUUGGUGUCUUCGCUCAGUACCUGCCCUAUUAAUCUUAACUGGCUAAAGUGGAGAUGAGCAGACCAACCACCUUUGUGUUUUACACUACCAGGUAGCUAUCGAAUUAUGCUCAGAUGUCCUGUAGAGAAAACAAGUAGGAAGUUAGCUGGUUUUGGAGAGCUUUGAACUCAUCCAGGGUAAAGCACCGGCUCUCCCAGACGUAACUGGAAUAAAUUGGGCAAAUUUAUUUACAUCAGUAUAGGGGAACACAUGCCUCUUAAAUGAGAAUGCUGUUACUAUAGAAACAAGUCUGGCCCAGUGGAAAAGUAUAAAACAAUUUACUUGGUAGGCCCACAAACUAGGCAACUCCAGUGCAGGAAUCUGGCCCUGGUUCCUCUUCCUCAGCUGCAGUUCUUUAUAGUGUCAUAAUAAUUGUUCUUUGUUUCUAAGUUUUUCUUUUUCAGGGAAAAGCCAGUGACAUUACCUGACGGUGGUGAGUACACCAGGCACCUGACAGUUUCCUCAGGUCUACCAUCACAUAUCAGCCUGACCUGAUUUGACCCCUUACCAACCCUGCUCAGUUAGAAAAAGAUUGUCCCCUUAUGCACUGUUGCAAAGUAGCCCUCUCAUGGCCACAUGGCUGCCUGAACUUAACCUGGGCAGAUAGUUGUUAGGAAAUAGAAACAGAACCCCAAACAUUUCUCAUUCCUCCCUAAAUGGCCAACUGUCAGGGGACCAUCAUAAAUGCAGCCUGGCUAUAUCAGGUGCAGACCCCUCCUGGGAGCCUGGCUGGGGCUUCUGUUUUUUUGUCCAUAAACGAAAAAAACAAAUCUGCCCUAAACCUUCAAAGUCCCUAGAAAACCUAACCUUUCCCUAGCCAGGAUGCUGCUCUGCUCUGGUGGCAGGCCUACGGCUGGUUUCAAAUAAACUUUUCCUGUCUGGAGUGGUCUUGUUCUGUGGUUUCAUUAUGCCAACAUACAAGUUCCUCGGGAUUGGAUGCCUUUUUCUGCGCCUCCCCCACGACAGGCAUGCUUGAGGUGCAUAUACAUAAAGGCAAAACACUGAUAAACAGAUAUUUAAUAUGCGUAACUUUUGUCUGCAUAUACGACUAGUACUGUCAGAGGUCAGAGGGUGUUAGAGACCCUGGAACUGGAGUCAGAGAUUGUUAGCCACCUGUGGGUGCUGGGAACCAAAUCCGGGUCUUCUGGAAGAACAGUUAGCUAUCUGCUGAGCCAUCUCUCCAGCCCCACUGGAGGGUCUUUAAAACUAUAUUAGAUAAAUCGGGAAACACUUGUGUCUUGUGGUAGAGAAAACUGCGCUCUGUAUGAGUGCCCCACAUCCAUUUGGCCAUGUAAAGUGGGGUUGGUUAACCAACAUGUAUGAACAUGUCAAAAGGGAUAUAAUUUUACUUAGAUUUUGGGCCAUAAGAAAGAUGGGCAGAAGUGGCACAUGUCUUUAAAACCACCACUUGAGAGGUAGAGGCAGGCAGAUAUCCAUGAGUUCAAGACCAGCCUAGUCUACAACAGCUAGUUCCAGGACAGCCUCCAAAGUCACAGAGAAACCCUGUCUCCAAAACACACCCCCUCCCCCCAAAAAAGAUUCAAUUGUGAGGAAUUAAUACCUAGUUAUGCAGUUUCCACCACAUUCCCACAAUAGCUCAAUGGUUUAUCAACAAAUACUAAACAGUACAGUAAUUAGAGGGAAUGAAAGCCCAGCAAGAAGACUACAGGGAAAUCACAAUUAGAUUUCAUGUCAUCAGCUGGAGCCUAUUUGGCUCUGAGCUCCCUAACAGCAAAGCUCAAAUGGCUGUGAUGAUGGAGCAUCAUUUCAAAGCAGAAGAGGGCAGUAGCCAAUCUACGCUCCAGGCUUCGCAAGAGGUGCUUUUCCCUGUAAUCUCAGCACUGGGUAACUAAAGGCCUAUCUAGAGAAAGUGGAGAUGGCUGCAUUUGGCUCCAGAGAAGGCCAGAAGUCAAAGGCUUGUAGGAAGCCUGAGUCCACUCAGCUGAAGGCAAGCUAACAUGAGAAAGGAAGGGAAAGCGUGGGACUGAACAGGAACAGUCGGGUGUGCCUGAAAAGUGCUUUCAUCCAGUAGUCAGGAAGAUUGCUUUUGCAUAUUUACCUUGUAUUUAUAAUCUGAAGAGUUCUGAGCCCAGUAUUCUGUGAUACAGUUGUGGUUUAUCAAAGCUCACAGAACCAAUGUUAAACAGCCUCCCGAUGGAGCUCACUGUAACUGCAAGGAGUCAAAAGUCCUGGCCCUCCACCACUGACAUCUGCAUCCCCAGGACUCCAGUCUGUUUCAGAGACAAAGAGAUCAAACUCAGAAAUGUUUGGUGUGUGUCACCUUGAUUUGUUUCUGGGAACAGAACGAAGCAUAACACCAUUAAUCCUGAACAGGCCCCCUGGCCUGUUCUCCAUGAUCUAAGUACCCAUUGUGUCGGGCAUCGGCCUCCCAUGGUAGCACUUGGGAAAUCAUAUUUUGAAACUAUUCUGAUAUGGCACCUACCAUGCAUGCUUGACUAUUCAAUACUUGAAACGUGGCUGGCACAUCAGGUGUGUACUGUGUUUUAGAAAUCAGAUGUGAGGAAUGUGGACACUAAAGAUUUCAAUUUUACAGUGAUUGUCAUUGGAUUGAAUGAAACAUUUGAAAUUAUGCAAGUAUGAUUGUAUUUCUGUUGAACAAUACCGGUCUAAUAUGCAAAGCAAAAAAUAAGUAGUGGCCCACAGUGUGAUAGAAUGAUGUUACUGUUCUACCACAGAGAAGAACCUCAAGGAACGGUAAGUUAGCACUUAAGACAGAGGAUUUGCAGGGAAGCAGCUAUCUUUUGAGAGGCGAAGGAGCCAGUACUGCUUGGCACAAAUCAUUUCAUGCAGCUUGUAGUCCUGGAGAUGUUAAAUAAGACUUAAGUAUAUUUGUUAAACAAUCUUUUGCCCACCCAGUCUGCAUAAACAUUUGCAUGCUUGUUAGGGAAAUCAAGAGCCAACAUUUAAUGUCUGAUGCUGUAUGAAAGUGCAAGCUUCCCUACUGAAAAACAAAUGCUGAAUCGUUCUGGUUCCUUCAUUUACUUGUCUGUGUUUGUGUCUGUGUGUCUGUGUAGUAAUGUAGUCUUCCAGGCAUUUUUACAGAAGGAGGGAAAUUGGGGGGAGGUGGUACAUAAAUAUCACCCGGACUUGUAGAAAGGUUUUUGUUGUUUAUUUUAAGGCCUUAAGUUAAGCAAAAUGCUUCACAAAAUUCUCUUUCUCUCAUUUUCACUCAACUACUCCAAAAAGCAGUCUUGUGAAGAUUCCCUUUUGUAGUUUUCUUGCUACUAAUGACAUUUGUUUUCUUCAGGAAGAUGGUAGGAAUUAGACCCCAAGGCUCAGGCAUGCUAUUCCAAUCAGGCAUGGUGGUGCAUCUUUAAUCCCAGCACUUGAAGGAAGAGGCAGGUGGAUCUCUGUAAAUUCAAGGCCAGCCUAGUCUACAGUGAGCUCCAGGACAGCCAGGAUUACACAGGGAAACCCUGUCUUGAACCACUGCCCCUUCCUGCAAAGUGAUUUCCCAUGGAGUUAUACUUAAUUGGAGAAACACUUGGUAAUAUCUAGAGGCAUUUGAUUUUCAUAACUGGGUAAGGGAUGAGCAUUUAGUGGGUAGUGACCAUAGGUGUUACAACAUAUCCUACCUGGGUGGUCCCUACAACAAAGGACGGUCUGACCCAAGAUGUCAAUAGUGCAGAAGUUGGUAAAUGCAGUUUUAGAAAAUGUUGCUCCCCACCCACCUGCCUAGGUGCUGAUGUUACAGGUCACUCCUGCCACACAAAGAGGUUCCCUAAAGUAUGAAUCCUAAGGGGCUUUAUUGCUAGCCCUAUUGCUUUCACUUCCAGAUGAUCUUAUAUAACACAUAAAACUAAUUAAUCACUAUUUUAAGCCUAGAGAUAUACAGGGUUGUUUCAGUUUCCUCAAAAAGCUAGAAUUGGUGUUGAUUAAAUGGUAAGUGACCAGAAAUGUCUCGUAUUCACUGCAAACUACAUGGUUUCUUACUCAGUUGGUCUUAGCUUGAUUGUUAAAGUAAGGCUUGCUCAUACUGGCCACCAGACUGUUCCGGAACAGACAAAAGAAACCUAGCCUAAGUCCCACCAUCUUGUUUCAGACUCCAUUUUAAUCAUAAGAGGAAGUUCAAGUUCCCAGGCCCUAGGGAAGCUGGGGACAAGAUCCCUGGAGGCUCAGGCCCCCAGGGUCUCAGCCCAGGACUGCAGCCACCCCAAUUGCCAGGCAGAAGGGGAAACUUGAUGCAAAUAGCAAGAGGUUUUAUUGUAGUUGUUUAACGAGCUAACCCCAUGUAAGCUCGGGCCUUUCAUCCAUCCACCAUGGCAGAUGGCUGGGAAAGACACCGAGAAGCCACGGCAUAGAGAUCUUAAAGGGCAGAGUAAGGGGAGUGUCUAGGAGUAUGCACAGGCUCAGGAUUGGUGUGCCUCCAGGCUUGGAGGGCCUGCCCUGUGUUGAUUGGUCAACUGGUUGUUAUGGCCCAUAGGCCCUCCCAGGGCAGUUGCUAUGCUCUGAGCGUCAUUGCUGUGCACUUGUCCGUAAAGCACACCCAGAGCCGUAAAGCAUAGCACCACCAGCUAACUUCUGAUUGGUUCCUUGCCAUGAGGCAGGCAUCUGACCUCCUAGUGACCAAGGCAAGGUCAGCCACAUUAGCCUGGUAUGGCUGCCAAAAUGGGGAGCUGGUCCUUUCAGGGACUUUCUAGUAUCUGACCAGCUUCCUCAUUAAACAAUAAUAGCCUGCAAAACUGCUUGCUAUUCUUCAGUUCCUUACAAAUAAUAGAUGUUUCUAAUAACAAAUAAAUUCGAUUGGUUGUACAUUUGACAUAGAUCAACCACAUUAGCAAAGUCCCUAAUCCCUGGAUUUUGAUUAGUGAAAAAUUGCAACUGUAAUUUGGCACAGGUGGUUGUGGGUUUUGUGCUUACACACUUGCUGAGAUGAACAAGUGUGUACACAGUUGGCUCCGGAGUGUGUGCUGUUGUCCCUUUCCUCAUUUUCCUGCUGUCCCAGUCAAUAAAAUCUUGCUUUGUGUGGACUCCGGUGCCUGCUUGGGUUAUUUUGAUUCUCAGACUCUAACAAGACCACAAAAUCUCUGGCUUAGCCCAAGGUUUGUAAACUAGGUGAAGACUUUUUUGUCUCCAGCAAAUAGCAUCACUUCAUGGGGGACACUUAACCAGAGAGCACACCAGCCAAGAGGAACAGCAAAAAUCUUACCCAAAUAGCCAUGACCAGACCUCAUUGACUGUGUCCCAUGUCUGCCUAGAACAUGGGCCAGAAUAUUCUGAUUGAUUUUAGCUCCCAAAUACUAAUAAAUAUGAAAACACCGAGUUCC